UGGGGAGUACGGCCGCAAGGCUAAAACUCAAAGGAAUUGACGGGGCCCCGCACAAGCGGCGGAGCAUGCGGCUUAAUUCGAUGCAACCCGAAGAACCUUACCUGGGUUUGACAUGGUGGGUCUAGCUGUGGAAACACAGUGUGCUUAGGCGCUCAUCACAGGUGGUGCAUGGCUGUCGUCAGCUCGUGUCGUGAGAUGUUGGGUUAAGUCCCGCAACGAGCGCAACCCUUGUCCUAUGUUGCCAGCACGUAAUGGUGGGGACUCAUGGGAGACUGCCGGGGACAACUCGGAGGAAGGCGAGGACGAUGUCAAGUCAUCAUGCCCCUUAUAUCCAGGGCUGCACGCAUGCUACAAUGGGCGGUACAGUGGGCCGCGAUCUCGUGAGAGUAAGCCAAUCCCUCAAAGCCGUCCCCAGUUCGGAUUGAAGUCUGCAACUCGACUUCAUGAAGCCGGAGUCGCUAGUAAUCGUGGAUCAGCUAUGCCACGGUGAAUACGUUCUCGGGGCUUGUACACACCGCCCGUCACAUCACGGAAGUCGGUAACACCCGAAGUCAGUGGCCUAACCCUUUAUUGGGAGGGAGCUGCCUAAGGUGGGAUUGGUAACUGGGAUGAAGUCGUAACAAGGUA
rnacentral:rRNA from 1 species